rnacentral:ncRNA from 1 species
GCGUUCCCGGGCCUUGUACACACCGCCCGUCACACCACGAAAGUCGGCAACACCCGAAGCCAGUGAGCUAACUGAACGGAAGUCAGAGGUCAGAAGUAAGAAGUCAGAGAUUAGUGAAGAAAUUGGCAAUACCAAUUUCAACCAAAGAUCCGACCUCCUACAUCCGAUUUCCGACUUCUGUUCAGAGGCAGCUGUCGAAGGUGGGGUUGGUGAUUGGGGUGAAGUCGUAACAAGGUAUCCGUACCGGAAGGUGCGGAUGGAUCACCUCCUUU